CCUGCCCUGGUUGCCAUGGUUACGGCCAUGGCGGCCUCCGCCCCCCAAAGCCUUUCCUCCGCCCGAAGGAAAUGGGUGCAAGUAUUUAAAGUGUGUGAUGAAGGAAACAAAGGAUAUUUAAGCAGAGAAGACUUCAAAGUUGCUGUGGUAAUGCUGUUUGGCUACAAACCCUUGAAGAUGGAAAUAGAUUUAGUGAUUACUUCGGAGAAGCAAAACACAUCAGGCAUACUACUUGAAGAAUUUUUAGACUUCAUCAAGAAAAGGAAGGCAGCCCAACUACAUUACGAUGAAAUAAGGCAGAUCUUUACAGCUUUUGACAGGAAGUAUCAUGGGUUUUUAACUUUGGAUGAUUUCAAAAAAGCAUUUGGACAAGUUGCUCCCAAGCUAUCUGAAAGAAUUGUACUGGAAGCAUUCAGGGAAGUUGAUCUGGAUUCAGAUGGUCAUGUCAGCCUCAGAGACUUUGAGCAUGCAAUGAACUAUGGGAAGAAUGAAGGAGAGGCAUUGUGAUCUGCCUAUCAGAAGUGUAUUCCCUGGGGUGAACAAUUCAACUCAAGAUAUUCUCCAAUCAACAUAAUUUUGGGUGGCUCAGGAAGUUAUUCCAUUUUUAAAGCUGUCUUGGUGGAACUAAUCCCUGUAUUGUGCCUACAUGAGAGCUUGUGACUGCCAAGUGAUUAAUCUCCACAAAAUAGCCCGAAGAGAUUCGACCAUUUCCAUCAUGCUCAGUCCUGGCCUACAUCUUGGAUACUUCACGGCUGGAGCCUUGCCACAGUGCUUCAGAUGGCUCUUCCUAAGUCUCUUGUUUACAGUCUCCCCAGAUUCAGGCAGCACUUCAGAUCCAGUCUAUGCAUCACAAUUCUCCGGACAACUUCUCACUCGGAUAUGGGACCUGGUUCCUUGUGCAUGAGAUAGGUUUUAGCAUUGAUAUAUAUAUCAAUUUAUGGACAGUCAGUUGUAUACCUUGGGGGUUACAAUCUUGAAGUUCCUUGCAUUAAGGAAAACUGGCGCCAUAGUAGUCAUACCAUGUCCAACACUGCACAUAGGUGCGUACCUGUUUCUUCCAACACCCCGCUGCAAUUUAUGCAGACAGCUGUACGUAUUGGAAGAACUUUUUAAAUUCAACUGCUGCAAUCUAUCCAAAAGCUCAGUGCAAAUGUAGUGGAGCAGGAAUGAUGGUAUUUCGUCUAUUCAUUAUUCAUGUUUCCAUACUCAUGCUAACUCUAGUUGUAGCUGAUUUUCUUGCUGUCUACUCUAAUAUACAGUGUUUUCCUCCCUUGCUCCCUCCCUUUGGAUUAUAAACUCUUCAAGGGCAGGGACACUGUCUUUAUUUUUAUUGCACUUUCCCAUGUGCUUAAUUACAGUGCUAUAGACACAGGCACUCAAUAAAUUCCAUCUAAUUAAAUUUCAUUAAAAUCUCAUUAUUUCUUGUCAAAACUCUCCAUACCUGAGAUUGAACUUCUAAAUGGACUGAUUUUACUUUGUCUGACUUGAAAUAACUUUUUCUCUUUUUUAAGAAUUUGGUUGAGUUUAGAAGUGUACAUUGUGCAUCUUAAUGGACAGAACAAGUAUUUUCAUUUUCAAAGCAUAUGUUAUGACAUUGGAUAAAAUAAUUAGGUAUAUCACCUUAUUCAAUUAAAAUAUCAAGUUAUGCAAUUUUCCUUUUAUUUGUAAUUCUUUGACCCUAUUUUUCUUGCCAUCUACCAUGGGCUGUUCUAUACAACUGCGUUAGCCUGGAUCAUAUUGAAAAUCACAAUCGACAUGCACUGAAAGUAAAAUAAAGGUAGAAUGCUUGGAGUCAA